ensembl:lncRNA ZNF37BP zinc finger protein 37B, pseudogene
AGGUUUGUUUUUCUCCGGUACAGCCUGGUGAAGGAUGCCCGGAGGCCUCGGCAGGACCGUGCGGAAACGGGCCUUCUGCCCAAAAGAUGCUGCUUCUCUCCUUAUUCUUUCCCCUCAGAAUCUCGCUGUCUCCUUCCAACCACCUGUGGUCGGCAUCCCCGCGUUGUCACUGCGACGCAGAGGUCGCAGCUUCAUGGCCUGAUGCCUUCAGGAAGUAUUUUGAAGUCAUCGUGGCUGUGGAUUGGGGGAUUUCUUGUUUCCACUGACCUGUGAGGCCGCGCACGUGGAGGGAGGCACCCCGGGUCCUCCGGCACUGUCCGGCCUCGCCUGUGUCCCUAGUAGCAGUGGGCAUUUCCAGACGGUGCAGCUUGUGGCUAAAGUGACAGGAAGAUGUAGGAGCUUUCAGUCUUGGAUGAGGAUUCGAACUGAAGGGCUUAGGCCCAGCUGUCUUGGAGCAAAACAUCUGUUGUGGGAUGUGGCGGCAGAGGAGGGCAAGGCCGAAGGAGCAGACAGCACCGCUUCUUGGGGAGUUGUGAAGGCAUCAUGCGGAGGGCCGAGCUUAGCAGCCAAGUGGAGGACAGCACCCUCCAUGCCUGGAUUCGUUACUCGCUCGUUCUCGAUGUUGAGCUGCUGGCAUAUUGCAGCACAACUAGAGAUGUACGGAUGCCCCCAUCUUGAUCUUACAGAAUCAGAGGUGCAGCCGCAAGAAAGAGUCAAGAACAGACACUGAGUCGCUUGAGGACUCAGGCAGGUGUUUGCUGCAUUGACAACAGAUGGAAUAUGAUCACAUCCCAGGGAUCAGUGUCAUUUAGGGAUGUGACUAUGGGCUUCACUCAAGAGGAGUGGCAUCAUCUGGACCCUGCUCAGAGGACCCUGUAGAGGAAUGUGAUGCUGGAGAACUACAGCCACCUUGUCUCAGUAGGGUAUUGCAUUCCUAAACCAGAAGUGAUCCUCAAAUUGGAGACAGGCAAGGAGCCAUGGAUAUUAGAGGAAAAAUUUCGAAGCCAGAGUCAUCUGGAAUUAAUUAAUACCAGUAGAAACUAUUCAAGAAUGAAGUUCAAUGAGUUUAACAAAGGUGGAAAAUGUUUCUGUGAUGAAAGCAUGAAAUAAUUCAUUUUGAAGAGGAACCUUCUGAAUAUAAUAACAAUGGGAACAGCUUCUGGCUGAAUGAAGACCUCAUUUGGCAUCAGAAGAUUAAAAAUUGGGAGCAACCUUUUGAAUACAAUGAAUGUGGGAAAGCUUUCCCUGAGAAUUCACUCUUCCUUGUACAUAAGAGAGCUUACACAGGACAGAAAACAUGCAAAUAUACUGAACAUGGGAAAACCUGU